rnacentral:rRNA from 1 species
UGGGGAAUAUUGCACAAUGGGCGCAAGCCUGAUGCAGCCAUGCCGCGUGUGUGAAGAAGGCCUUCGGGUUGUAAAGCACUUUCAGCGGGGAGGAAGGCGGUGAGGUUAAUAACCUCAUCGAUUGACGUUACCCGCAGAAGAAGCACCGGCUAACUCCGUGCCAGCAGCCGCGGUAAUACGGAGGGUGCAAGCGUUAAUCGGAAUUACUGGGCGUAAAGCACACGCAGGCGGUCUGUCAAGUCGGAUGUGAAAUCCCCGGGCUCAACCUGGGAGCUGCAUUGGAAACUGGCAGGCUAGAGUCUUGUAGAGGGGGGUAGAAAUCCAGGUGUAGCGGUGAAAUGCGUAGAGAUCUGGAGGAAUACCGGUGGCGAAGGCGGCCCCCUGGACAAAGACUGACGCUCAGGUGCGAAAGCGUGGGGAGCAAACAGG